GAGAGAGAACUGCUGGGGUGCUCAUGGGGUGCUCCUUGUGACUCCGCCUAGGCACUGCCGACAAAUGUGCGGCAACAACAGCUACAAACGGCAAGGGAAAUGCGCUCACUGCGUGCCAUGGAUUGGCACACUUGGCACCUCCAAGCAGGAGUGCCUGAAUUCGUGGCCAUGGAGGAGGUCACUUAUGGACAAUAACUACCAGCCGUUGAUUAGCCGCCGAGUUCCUGCAUCGAGACAUUUGCAAGGGACUGGAUGUGUUUUGGGUUCCAAGAAGUCGAACAAUAUGAUGCAAAUGUUCUCGAAGUGGGGUUCAUCAGAUUCAGCUGCUUAAGCAUCCUGUGGCAGCAAUAAACGGCACAUUUGCAAGAGAGAAACCCAAAUAACGCAUUUUACAAUCACAUUGCAGCACAAAAGGCCAACAUUUGUAAGAUGCUCAUUGAUGGAAACCAUUUCUAUGCGUAUCUUUCAUCCUUGCAUAUGCUUUGUUUACAAAUGAAGUACAGGUUCAACUGCAAUGUUUGCGCUUGGGAGCCUGCGGCACCAGUUUGUCAUAAAGGCGUAC